GGCUGAAACUCGCCUACAUGAAGCUGGAGUUACUAGUAAUCGCAGAUCAGAAUGCUGCGGUGAAUGCGUUCCCGGGUCUUGUACACACCGCCCGUCACACCACGGGAGUUGGAGACGCCCGAAGCCGCUUAUCUAACCUUUUGGAAGAAGUCGUCGAAGGUGGAAUCAAUAACUGGGGUGAAGUCGUAACAAGGUAGCCGUAUCGGAAGGUGCGGCUGGAUCACCUCCUUUCUAAGGAGA
rnacentral:rRNA from 1 species